GACGAACGCUGGCGGCGUGCUUAACACAUGCAAGUCGAACGUGAUUUUUGUGGAAAUUCUUUCGGGAAUGGAAAUGAAAUGAAAGUGGCGAACGGGUGAGUAACACGUGAGCAACCUACCUUACACAGGGGGAUAGCCGUUGGAAACGACGAUUAAUACCGCAUGAGACCACAGAAUCGCAUGAUAUAGGGGUCAAAGAUUUAUCGGUGUAAGAAGGGCUCGCGUCUGAUUAGCUAGUUGGAAGGGUAAAGGCCUACCAAGGCGACGAUCAGUAGCCGGUCUGAGAGGAUGAACGGCCACAUUUGAACUGAGACACGGUCCAAACUCCUACGGGAGGCAGCAGUGGGGAAUAUUGCACAAUGGGGGGAACCCUGAUGCAGCGACGCCGCGUGAGCGAAGAAGGUUUUCGAAUCGUAAAGCUCUGUCCUAUGAGAAGAUAAUGACGGUAUCA
rnacentral:rRNA from 1 species